ACUUAACCGCUAAGCCAUGGGGCCGGCCCCCAAAGAAAAAAAAUAUUUUAAUUUCAUUCUUAAAUAACCUCAAUUCUUACAAAUGGGAUGUAUGUGCCUGUUGGGCACCAUACAAUUUUCAAACAUUGGACUCAGAUUGAAUACCUGUUCCAUAUUCAUUUUCAUAUGAUACUUGCUUUUUAGCUUAGCAAUUGCCAAAACUCAGCUUUGCAAAGAUAUGACAUCAUGGACAAAAAUAUAGCGCAGCUGAAAAGAAACAGUUUAUUAUCUUAAGCUACUAGUUCACGUGGUGUCUGACAAGCUGUCUAAUAUUCCCGUGUUAACCUCAAAAAUUUAAAAUAUCCUAGGCUACCACAUGAGUUUGCUGCAGCUGCCCAGAGUGCCUUGGUUCACAGUUUGGGAAC